rnacentral:rRNA from 1 species
CCCUUAGAUGUUCUGGGCUGCACGCGUGUUACAAUCGGGAGUACAACAAGAUUGCAAAUCCUAGUGGAUGAGUGGUUCUUCGAAAUUUUCUGAAGACUGGGAUAGUUGAUUGAAAUUAUUCAACUCAAACGAGGAAUUCCUUGUAAUUGUAAUUCAUUAUAUUGUAAUGAAUACGUCCCUGCCCUUUGUACACACCGCCCGUCGCUCCUACCGAUUGAACGAUCCGGUGAAUUAUUUGGAGUAGCUCUGGAAGUUGCAGAACUUCCUAUGUCACGAAAUUUUGUAAACCUUAUCAUUUAGAGGAAGGAAAAGUCGUAACA